UUUAUUUCAGCUGAGACAACCACACCAGAAGAUACAACAACACUCACCACAGAACCAUUAACAGCAGCAUCUACAACAGCUGAGACAACCACUCUAGAAGAUACAACAACACUCACCACAGAACCAUCAACAGCAGCAUCUACAACAGCUCAGACAACCACAUCAGAAUAUACAACAACACUCACCACAGAACCAUCAACGGCAGCAUCUACAACAG